GUUUGGGUUCAAGAUUAGCCCCCGUGAUGUUGUCAGGUGAAUACCUACAACGUGCGUUGGUUUUCU
rnacentral:antisense_RNA from 1 species